rnacentral:rRNA from 1 species
AUUGAACGCUGGCGGCAUGCUUUACACAUGCAAGUCGAACGGCAGCGCGGGCUUCGGCCUGGCGGCGAGUGGCGAACGGGUGAGUAAUGCAUCGGAACGUGCCCAGUAGUGGGGGAUAGCCCGGCGAAAGCCGGAUUAAUACCGCAUACGACCUGAGGGUGAAAGCGGGGGACCGAAAGGCCUCGCGCUAUUGGAGCGGCCGAUGUCGGAUUAGCUAGUUGGUGGGGUAAAGGCUUACCAAGGCGACGAUCCGUAGCUGGUCUGAGAGGACGACCAGCCACACUGGGACUGAGACACGGCCCAGACUCCUACGGGAGGCAGCAGUGGGGAAUUUUGGAAAAUGGGGGCAACCCUGAUCCAGCCAUGCCGCGUGCGGGAAGAAGGCCUUCGGGUUGUAAACCGCUUUUGUUCGGGAGAAAUCCUCUGGGCUAAUACCCCGGGGGGAUGACGGUACCGGAAGAAUAAGCACCGGCUAACUACGUG